UUGGGGCUUCCUGUUCUGGAAGGACCUGCGGGGAAGAUCUCGGGAGGGAGUCGGGGAGCGGAAAGGGAAAGGGAAGCUGCGCGAGGAAGAGGAAGAAAAGAAGAAAAUUCUCGAGGACGCUUCGUCCGCUACGAGAUUCAAUUCCUCCCGCCGCGGCGAUCCCUUCCUUUCCAGGAUUCCGGUCGUAGGCGACUGCGCCGCCGUCCCUGUAUACUUUGGCCGUCUGAGUCGACGGGGAGAGGAGGAGAGGGC
rnacentral:lncRNA from 1 species